rnacentral:rRNA from 1 species
CACGUAGGGGGGCAAGCGUUGUCCGGAAUUAUUGGGCGUAAAGAGCUCGUAGGCGGCUCGGUAAGUCAGGUGUCAAAUCCUCAGGCUCAACCUGGGGCUCCACCUGAUACUGCUGUGGCUAGAGUCCGGUAGGGGAGCGUGGAAUUCCUGGUGUAGCGGUGAAAUGCGCAGAUAUCAGGAGGAACACCGGUGGCGAAGGCGGGAUCCUGGGCCAGUACUGACGCUGAGGAGCGAAAGCGUGGGGAGCAAACAGG